UACAGAGGGUGCGAGCGUUAAUCGGAAUUACUGGGCGUAAAGGGCGCGUAGGCGGCCAAUUAAGUUGGAUGUGAAAUCCCUGGGCUUAACCUAGGAACUGCAUACAAGACUGGUUGGCUAGAGUGCAGUAGAGGAUAGUGGAAUUUCCGGUGUAGCGGUGAAAUGCGUAGAUACCCGGAGGAACACCAGUGGCGAAGGCGGCUUCCUGGUCUGCGACUGACGCUGUGGCGCGAAAGCUAGGGGAGCGAACAGG
rnacentral:rRNA from 1 species